rfam:Aedes albopictus isolate Foshan contig139238, whole genome shotgun sequence.
GGCCUAGUGGUUAAGGCUAUGGAUCGCCAAUCCGGAGACGGCGGGUUCGAUUCCCGU